UGGGGAAUAUUGCACAAUGGGCGCAAGCCUGAUGCAGCCAUGCCGCGUGUGUGAAGAAGGCCUUCGGGUUGUAAAGCACUUUCAGCGAGGAGGAAGGUGGUGAGCUUAAUACGCUCAUCAAUUGACGUUACUCGCAGAAGAAGCACCGGCUAACUCCGUGCCAGCAGCCGCGGUAAUACGGAGGGUGCAGGCGUUAAUCGGAAUUACUGGGCGUAAAGCGCACGCAGGCGGUUUGUUAAGUCAGAUGUGAAAUCCCCGGGCUCAACCUGGGAACUGCAUUUGAAACUGGCAAGCUAGAGUCUCGUAGAGGGGGGUAGAAUUCCAGGUGUAGCGGUGAAAUGCGUAGAGAUCUGGAGGAAUACCGGUGGCGAAGGCGGCCCCCUGGACGAAGACUGACGCUCAGGUGCGAAAGCGUGGGGCAGCAAACAGGAUUAGAUACCCUGGUAGUCCACGCUGUAAACGAUGUCGAUUUUGGAGGUUGUGCCCUUGAGGCGUGGCUUCCGGAGCUAACGCGUUAAA
rnacentral:rRNA from 1 species